rnacentral:rRNA from 1 species
UACGGGGGGAGCAAGCGUUGUUCGGAUUUACUGGGCGUAAAGGGCGCGUAGGCGGCGUGACAAGUCACUUGUGAAAUCUCCGGGCUUAACCCGGAGCGGCCAAGUGAUACUGUCGUGCUAGAGUGCGGAAGGGGCAACUGGAAUUCUCGGUGUAGCGGUGAAAUGCGUAGAUAUCGAGAGGAACACCUGCGGCGAAGGCGGGUUGCUGGGCCGACACUGACGCUGAGGCGCGAAAGCGUGGGGAGCAAACAGG